rnacentral:ncRNA from 1 species
UCGCGGGCGACUGCGAAUCUGAAGGAAGCUGGCGGCAAAUGUUUGAGCCUACGAACAGAAACUUCAUAUAAGGCGGGGCUGUGUGGGUGAUGUUGCAAAAGAAACAGAAGCCCUAUACUGCACAGAACACAGCUACGUAAAUGGAGAGGCUACAUGAACAGAAAGCGAAUGAU